rnacentral:rRNA from 1 species
CCUACGGGGGGCAGCAGUGGGGAAUAUUGCACAAUGGGGGAAACUCUGAUGCAGCGACGCCGCGUGAGUGAAGAAGUAUUUCGGUAUGUAAAGCUCUAUCAGUAGGGAAGUAAAUGACGGUACCUGAUUAAGAAGCCCCGGCUAACUACGUGCCAGCAGCCGCGGUAAUACGUAGGGGGCAAGCGUUAUCCGGAUUUACUGGGUGUAAAGGGAGCGUAGACGGCAGCACAAGUCUGUAGUGAAAUGCCGGGGCUUAACCCCGGAACUGCAUGUGAAACUGUGCAGCUUGAGUGCAGGAGAGGUAGGUGGAAUUCCUAGUGUAGCGGUGAAAUGCGUAGAUAUUAGGAGGAACACCAGUUGCGAAGGCGGCUUACUGGACUGUAACUGACGUUGAGGCUCGAAAGCGUGGGGAGCAAACAGGAUUAGAUACCCCAGUAGUC